rnacentral:rRNA from 1 species
AUUGAACGCUGGCGGCAUGCUUUACACAUGCAAGUCGAACGGUAACAGGCCUUCGGGUGCUGACGAGUGGCGAACGGGUGAGUAAUGCAUCGGGACGUACCCAGAGGUGGGGGAUAACGCAACGAAAGCUGUGCUAAUACCGCAUGUGAUCUGAGGAUGAAAGCGGGGGACCGAGCAGCAAUGUUUGGCCUCGCGCCUUUGGAGCGGCCGAUGUCGGAUUAGCUAGUUGGUGGGGUAAAGGCCUACCAAGGCGACGAUCCGUAGCUGGUCUGAGAGGACGACCAGCCACACUGGGACUGAGACACGGCCCAGACUCCUACGGGAGGCAGCAGUGGGGAAUUUUGGACAAUGGGCGCAAGCCUGAUCCAGCAAUGCCGCGUGCGGGAAGAAGGCCUUCGGGUUGUAAACCGCUUUUGGCAGGAACGAAACGGUGUCCGCUAAUACCGGGCGCUAAUGACGGUACCUGCAGAAUAAGCACCGGCUAACUACGUG